UUGCUGUUUGUUUCCGAGAAGUCAGUAGUAACGGUGUCCCCGGUUUAUCGGCAGGGAAGCGUGCUUCCCCUGGCGUCGUGGGGCACAUGCAGCACGCCGGAGUAACGACGAGUCUCGCCGAGAAGAACAGGCGAUGCAGAAGCAGUGAGCGGGCCGGGAAAACGCCGGUUAUGGAAGGCGGAACAUGCAGGAGUAUUUGCAGCACUGCUUCCAAACUGCGCCUAAAGCAAGUCAUGAUUCUGCUUCUCCUCAUCAAUGUUGUUAAGCCAACAAGAGUGUCAGCAUGGACUCACUCCUGGACUACGACACAGUCGUACACCAAACAUCAAACACCAAACAGUUCAGAAAGCAGCACGCGGGCCAGUACACCAACCACUUCUUCAGCCAGCCCACCAACCAGCCCACCAACCAGCCCACCAGGAGACUGUAAGAAACCCCCGAACCCAACUUGGGGUACGUAUCCAAUGGAUGGUUCUACAACUCACGGCAGUACCAAGACAAUAACUUGUUCUUCUGAAUAUGUCGUCAAUCCUUCUGCAACAACACCAACUAUCACAUGCCAAGCCGGUGGAACUUGGACAGUGCCUAGUGUGCCUCCAUGCCUACGUAAGCUAUUCUUGAUUUAAAUGAGAGUUUAUAGUAGAGAAAAGGACCAAGGAAGUACAAGUUAUGCUAUAAUGUCCACUAACACCACCAGUC